CGAGUAUGCUUUGCACUUCGCAACGGGAUCAUUUUUACGUGUGUGUGAAUGUGUGUGUGCGGCGAUUUGGUCGGAGUUUCCGAAGAGAAAUGUCACAUCGUGAGGAGAGUGACCAAACGCUACUACGACAUGCUCGACGAUGGAUCGUCUUUCCCGACCAGCGAGAGGCAGAGAGAAGAGAAAGUUCUGUGCCAGCGGUGGUUUUUCCGAGUGUUGUUGGAUACAUCGACGGGACGCAUAUCCACAUUCAGGCGGCGAAAAUAAUGAGCACCAGUUAAUGUUUAUCAACGUGCUUGCAAAGUGGCAUCCAGGGUGUCUGCAGCCUUUGGAAGCAACUGUAGACUAUUGGACCGGGUCAUGCUAGGUGACAGUAGCUGCAUGAUAGGAGAGUGAUUGUUGACAUCAUUUCAGCAUCCUGCACCCUUGCAGGAAAGGAAAUACAACACAGCACAUAGCUGUACAUGCAACUGGCAUAGCUAAAAAGAGAUGGGAUUGUCUCUAGGGUCUGAAGAUGGAACCAGAUCAGGCAUGUGAAGUGACUGUGUUCUCAAUCGGGGGAG